rnacentral:rRNA from 1 species
GACGAACGCUGGCGGCGUGCUUAAUACAUGCAAGUCAACGAUUUUAAGAUAGCAAUAUUUAAAAUAGUGGCGCACGGUGAGUAACACGUAGAUAAUCUGCCUUUAGGUCUGACAUAACUCGUCGAAAGACGGGCUAAUAUCAGAUAAAACAAUAACUUGGCACCAAGUAAUUGUCAAAGCUUCGGCGCCCAAAGAUGAGUCUGCGGACCAUUAGGUAGUUGGUGGAUUAACAGCCCACCAAGCCAACGAUGGAUAGCUGGUCUGAGAGGAUGAUCAGCCACACUGGAACUGAGACACGGUCCAGACUCCUACGGGAGGCAGCAGUAAGGAAUAUUGCUCAAUGGGAGAAAUCCUGAAGCAGCAACGCCGCGUGAAGGAAGAAGGGUCUUCGACUUGUAAAACUUCUGUAGAAGAGGAAAAAUAACUCCG